rnacentral:rRNA from 1 species
GACGAACGCUGGCGGCGUGCCUAAUACAUGCAAGUCGAACGCAGUGGGGACGGGUGCGUAACACGUGGGUAACCUCCCCUAAGAGGGGAUAAAACUUGGCAACAGGUGCUAAACCGAUACUGAUGGAUGGACCCGAGGUGCAUUAGCUAGUUGGUGAGGUAACGGCUCACCAAGGCCACGAUGACUAGCCUGCCUGAGAGGGGGACCGGCCACACUGGGACUGAGACACGGCCCAGACUCCUACGGGAGGAAGCAGUAGGGAAUCUUAGGCAAUGGACGAAAGUCUGACCGAGCAACGCCGCGUGAGUGAAGAAGGUUUUCGGAUCGUAAAACUCUUUUGUUAGAGAAGCGGUAUCUAACCAGAAAGCAACGGCUAACUACGUGCCAGCAACCGCGGUAAUAC